AUUGAACGCUGGCGGCAGGCCUAACACAUGCAAGUCGAGCGGCAGCGGGGGAAAGCUUGCUUUCCUGCCGGCGAGCGGCGGACGGGUGAGUAAUGUCUGGGAAACUGCCUGAUGGAGGGGGAUAACUACUGGAAACGGUAGCUAAUACCGCAUAAUGUCUUCGGACCAAAGUGGGGGACCUUCGGGCCUCAUGCCAUCAGAUGUGCCCAGAUGGGAUUAGCUAGUAGGUGAGGUAACGGCUCACCUAGGCGACGAUCCCUAGCCGGUCUGAGAGGAUGACCAGCCACACUGGAACUGAGACACGGUCCAGACUCCUACGGGAGGCAGCAGUGGGGAAUAUUGCACAAUGGGCGCAAGCCUGAUGCAGCCAUGCCGCGUGUAUGAAGAAGGCCUUCGGGUUGUAAAGUACUUUCAGCGGGGAGGAAGGUGUUGUGGUUAAUAACCAUAGCAAUUGACGUUACCCGCAGAAGAAGCACCGGCUAACUCCGUGCCAGCCGCCGCGGUAAGAC
rnacentral:rRNA from 1 species